GCCGGUGUAGCUCAGCCCGGUAGAGCGGCGGGCUGUUAACCCGUAGGUCGUGGGUUCAAAUCCCACCACCGGCG
rnacentral:tRNA from 2 species